GCAAGGAAUAGUAGGCAAUGGGCGAAAGCCUGACCUCGCGACGCCGCGUGGAGGAUGACGGCCUUCGGGUCGUAAACUCCUUUUCUCGGGGAUGAAACAUGACAGUACCCGGGGAAUAAGUCACGGCUAACUACGUGCCAGCAGCCGCGGUAAAACGUAGGUGGCGAACGUUAUCCGGAUUUACUGGGCGUAAAGCGUGCGCAGGCGGCUUUUCAAGUCGGAUGUAAAAUCUCUUGGCUCAACUGGGAGGGACCAUCCGAUACUGUUAAGCUGGAGUGCAACAGAGGAGAGUGGAAUUCCCGGUGUAAUGGUGGAAUGUGUAGAUAUCGGGAGGAACACCAGUGGCGAAAGCGGCUCUCUGGGUUGUUACUGACGCUGAUGCACGAAAGCGUGGGGAGCAAACAGGAUUAGAAACCCUUGUAGUCC
rnacentral:rRNA from 1 species